rnacentral:rRNA from 1 species
AGCUUUAUGUAAAUAUUUAUAUAAGGUAAUACCUGCCCAGUGAAAUUUUUUUAACGGCCGCAGUACUUUGACUGUGCUAAGGUAGCAUAAUCAAUUGGCUUUUAAUUGAAGUCUAGUAUAAAAGGAUAAAUGAAUAGACACUGUUUCUUAAUAAUUAAAUAAAAUUUACUUAAAAGGUGAAAAUUCCUUUAAUUAAUAAAAUAGACGAGAAGACCCUAGGAAUUAGAAAUUUUUUUUGUUGGGGCAACAAUAUAACAUAUAUAAACUUAUAUUAUAAAUAACUUUGUAAAAAAAAUUUUUUAAGAUAAUUUAAUUACCCUAGGGAUAACAGCAUAAUUUAUAUUUAAGUUUGUGACCUCGAUGUUGGACUAAGGAAUUUUACUAUAAGCAAUAAUUAAAAUUAGUUCUGUUCGAACUUUCUCCCCUU